GGAAUCUUGGACAAUGGGCGAAAGCCUGAUCCAGCAAUGCCGCGUGUGUGAAGAAGGCCUGCGGGUUGUAAAGCACUUUCAGUGGGGAAGAUUAUGACGGUACCCACAGAAGAAGCACCGGCUAACUCCGUGCCAGCAGCCGCGGUAAUACGGAGGGUGCAAGCGUUAAUCGGAAUUACUGGGCGUAAAGCGUGCGUAGGCGGCCGCUUAAGUCUGAUGUGAAAGCCCCGGGCUUAACCUGGGAAUGGCAUUGGAGACUGGGCGGCUAGAGUGCGAUAGAGGAUGGUGGAAUUCCCGGUGUAGCGGUGAAAUGCGUAGAGAUCGGGAGGAACACCUGUGGCGAAGGCGACCAUCUGGGUCUGCACUGACGCUCAGGCACGAAAGCGUGGGGAGCAAACAGGAUUAGAUACCCCGGUAGUCC
rnacentral:rRNA from 1 species